rnacentral:tmRNA from 1 species
GGGGGCGAUCGGUUUCGACGGGGGUGGACGGUAACCAGGCGGCACGUCGCGGCUUCCCGUCGCCGCGUUAGAAAGGCGGGGAAAAAUAAACGCGGAUAACUACGCGUACGCUUGCUAACUAGUUAGCAAGUCGGCCGCCGGCGGAGCCUUCCCGCGGCGCCCCGGCCGGCCGUCGGAAUAGCGGGAUAAGCCGAGGUGGGGGCCCCCUCCGCCGAGGACGAAAAUCCUAACGGGGGCUGGCGUAAGGCCGACCCGCCCGCGGGCCAAGUCUUGCGCGAGAUCAAUACGCGGGACAAGCGUGUAGAGGCCUGGCAGCCGCACUUCCGGACGCGGGUUCGAUUCCCGCCGCCUCCAAUA